rnacentral:misc_RNA from 1 species
AAAGUCGUAACAAGGUUUUCGUAGGUGAACCUGCGGAAGGAUCAUUAGUGAAUUUAAACAAACCGAGUUCUCCUUUUGCAUUAAGUUGUAUUAAGGGUUCUCAAUUAUUUCACAAACACUGUGCACCUGUUUAUCAUUUUGAAACUUUGACUGAGUUUGCUUGAAGUUUGAUGACUUUCGGGAAAUCUUACUUAGAACAAGGUUGGGUGGAGAUUUGACUAACUUUUAACACUUUUGAUAAUUUAUAACUGUUGUUGAUGAUAAUACAAUUUGAAAAAUGAAAGUAAAAACUUUCAGCAAUGGAUCUCUUGGCUCUC